AAUCCUAAAGAGAUUAAUAUUGAAUCAUAACCUAUAUUUUCAUUUUCAUUUUUCAUAAAUUAUAAUAUUACCUUUUCAUGUAUCUUAUACUCUUCGUAAAAAGAGAGAGAGAAAAAGAAAGAACAACAUGAUGAAAAAUAUGAAUCUUUCAACCAACCAAACAGUUCAUUUCGUCAUGAAAUGCUUGAAACUGAUCCAAAAACUGAGAGCCGUCGCGCGAUAUUGUCAGGCUUAACACCAUACGUCCAGGGAUUAUUGCUUUCACGUAUUCCACGGAGUUCAUUCAUUUUUAUCCCACUUAAUUUAGACCUCGUAGCCGUGUCCAUUCCCCCAGUUUCGUUCUCUUUGAGCAAAGCAAACAAACAUAGCUGGGGAAAGCGGCGGAUCGCUCGAAUUCGCAUUGAAAUCCCGCCAAUUUCGAUGGGUUGCACUUUCUCCCAGGUUCACGGACGUUCCUCUUAAGCUUCUUUCUUUGCCCGUCAGUCGCGUCGCGAUCGGCAAAGUUUAAAGUCGAUUCAGACGACACGGAACGUUUACGCUUCGUGCAAGAAGCAAUUAAUCCUUUGCGUUCUGGGACAGAAAAAGGUUAUCGAUGCCACGACCUGAAACGUCUUGAAAUGACGCCCGGAAUAUCCUGCGGAAUUAAGGAAAUUUAUCCGUCCCCUGAAUAUUAAUGGAAGUGGAUUGAAAAUUGUGCCUUAAAUACUCCAAAUAUUAAAAAUCAUAUAUACUUAACGCUAGAAUAUAUGAUCUGUAGCAUAUAUGUAUACGUAUUUAUAUAAAGCGAAAUAUAAAUGUAAUGGAACUGUCUCGCUUUGAAAUGCAAGAUCGGUGACCUAAAAAUUUUACUAAUUCCAAGGAUCUCGUUUCAUAGUAUAUAAAAAGUAAUGAGAGCAGAUCGACAAAGAUCGGUUACAGAUCGUGUAUAUAAAAUCAAAGAACAAGCAUUUGUCGAGGAAUUUUACUACUUUCACUCGAUUUUCUCCACUAUUCUUCUUCAAAAUUCGAAAACAAUGCUGGUAACACGAAUAACCAUGCGUAACAUUAUUUCAAGAAGGAUUUUAGAAUCGCUUGAAAUUGUAAUGAUCUAAGUACUACUUAGAUAAGCAUAGUAUUGGAGGUUGUUAAAAUACAACUGAUCGCUAAAGCAGUUCGUGGAAGACUGAUUAGAUGAAAUUAUGUAAAUUGCUAUGAAACAUUGCGAAUAAAUGGUUAACUUAAUCAUUCCAUCGUUACGCUUCAUGACGGCUCCCUUUUCUCUCAAUUUUAUUUACAUAGGAAUCAGAGGCUUAUCUUUCCAAUGGUAGCAUAAGAUGGCCGGAUAAGAAGCUGGCAAGAGAAAGGAAACGGAGGUUCUAAGGUGAAAGCUGGAUAAAUUCCAUCCUUGCUCUUGUAUUCUAUUAUUUUAAUCUUUUUUAUCCGGAAGAUUUAUCUGUGUGCUGUGAGUUAGUGGGAACUUUUGGUGAAACUAUAUAUAUAUAUACGAUUUCAAUUAUGACACGCACCGGAAGUUGAAGAAUCUUGCGCUCGAAAGCGCGUUAAAUUUUCAGGAAACUGAAAUAAUUGCUUCGGCGAGUAAAUUAAUUUCGAGAAUAAUUUGUUAGUUUGCACGUGUAUUUUAUUAAGUUAAUUUGCCUAUCUUUUUUGUAUCGAAAUCAAAAAAUUUAACACAAGACUGAUUUAUCUAAUUGUUUUAAAAAAUUAAUUUCACUUUGACACGAUACUUUGAUAAGACGAAGAGAUUGUUCUGAACCUGAAGAAACAUACACGACGAGGAACGUGAAGUGUUCUGCUCGCAUAUACGCUGCACGUGACUAAAAUACACUUCCUUGCUUGGCCGAGUCAAAAAUAAAAAUACAACUCGUUGACGAUCGAUUUCGAUGUUCUGGAAUCGUUCGAGACGAAAAUUUCACUUUCGUAAAAAUUCUUGUCUAAGAAUUAAAAAUUUUCUUUUCUAAAAGAUAAAAAUGUAAAAAUAA
rnacentral:lncRNA from 1 species